AUCCUACGGGGGGCAGCAGUGGGGAAUAUUGCACAAUGGGGGAAACCCUGAUGCAGCGACGCCGCGUGAGCGAUGAAGUAUUUCGGUAUGUAAAGCUCUAUCAGCAGGGAAGAAAAUGACGGUACCUGACUAAGAAGCCCCGGCUAACUACGUGCCAGCAGCCGCGGUAAUACGUAGGGGGCAAGCGUUAUCCGGAUUUACUGGGUGUAAAGGGAGCGUAGACGGCGAUGCAAGCCAGAUGUGAAAGCCCGGGGCCCAACCCCGGGACUGCUCUUGGAACCGCGUGGCUGGAGUGCAGGAGGGGC
rnacentral:rRNA from 1 species